UGGGAUGUAGCUCAGUGGUAUAGUCCUUGCCUACCAUGCAUGAGAUCCUGAGUUCAAAUCACAGUACUACAA
rnacentral:tRNA from 1 species